UUAAUUUCAAAAACUUUGACUUUCCCACCCAGCCCUAGUCCUUCUUCCUUCCUUCUUGCUGCCCGCCUCCCUCUCUGUUCCAAACUUUCCUUGCCCUCCCGUCCCUCUGCCCGCCUCCCCCAGCCUCCUCAUGCGGCGCGCCGGCGCCGACCUCCGUCGCCCCCAGCCAGGUCGCGAGCCUUCCCCAGCCGAAAUACCGAGCAGACGCCGCCAGCCGCGCAGGACGCAGGACGCAGCUGCCGCCAUCGUCCCAGCAA
rnacentral:lncRNA from 1 species